rnacentral:rRNA from 1 species
UACGGGGGGAGCAAGCGUUGUUCGGAUUUACUGGGCGUAAAGGGCGCGUAGGCGGCCACCGCAAGUCGACUGUGAAAUCUCCGGGCUUAACCCCGGAAAGGUCAGCCGAUACUGCGGGGCUAGAGUGCAGAAGGGGCAACUGGAAUUCUCGGUGUAGCGGUGAAAUGCGUAGAUAGUCGGAGAGGAACACCUGCGGCGAAGGCGGGUUGCUGGGCUGACACUGACGCUGAUGCGCGGAAAGCCAGGGGAGCAAAGCGGGG